GACGAACGCUGGCGGCGUGCUUAACACAUGCAAGUCGAACGGUAAGGCCCUUCGGGGUACAUGAGUGGCGAACGGGUGAGUAAUAUAUCGGAACGUGCCCAGUCGUGGGGGAUAACGUAGCGAAAGCUACGCUAAUACCGCAUACGAUCUACGGAUGAAAGCGGGGGAUCGCAAGACCUCGCGCGAUUGGAGCGGCCGAUAUCAGAUUAGGUUGUUGGUGAGGUAAAAGCUCACCAAGCCUGCGAUCUGUAGCUGGUCUGAGAGGACGACCAGCCACACUGGAACUGUGACACGGUCCAGACUCCUACGGGAGGCAGCAGUGGGGAAUUUUGGACAAUGGACGCAAGUCUGUUCCAGCAAUGCCGCGUGCAGGACGAAGGCCUUCGGGUUGUAAACUGCUUUUGUACGGAACGAAACGGUGAGCUCUAAUACAGUUUGCUAAUGACGGUACCGUAAGAAUAAGCACCGGCUAACUACGUGCCAGCAGCCGCGGUAA
rnacentral:rRNA from 1 species